AAAUCCUCCUCAUCAAAAACAUGACUCUGAUCUCCGUCCUCAUCUGGACUCUCCUCUGCUGCUGCUUCACAGAGUCCAGAGGUCAGGUCACAGUGACUCAGCCUGGAGCAGUGAGCUCUGCUCGGGAAGCCUCCGUCUCCAUCAGCUGUAGGACCAGUCAAGAUGUUAUCGUAGGGACUACGGAUGGGGACAGAGG